rnacentral:rRNA from 1 species
AGCUCCAAUAGCGUAUACUAACGUUGUUGCAGUUAAAAAGCUCGUAGUUGGAUUUGUUGCGGCCUCUGCGGUCCAAAAUGUUUUGGUACUGUCGGAGGUUGCAAUCUUUGGGUGGAACCUGUGUGCCAUUAAGUUGGUGUGCAGGGGAUGCCCAUCUUUUACUGUGAAAAAAUUGGAGUGUUUCAAGCAGGCUUACGCCGAUGAACAUAUUAGCAUGGAAUAAUGAGAUAGGACCUUGGUACUAUUUUGUUGGUUUGCGUGCCGAGGUAAUGAUUAAUAGGGACAGUUGGGGGUAUUCGUAUUCCAUUGUCAGAGGUGAAAUUCUUGGAUUUUUGGAAGACGAACUACUGCGAAAGCAUUUACCAAGGAUGUUUUCAUUAAUCAAGAACGAAAGUACGCA